ACACAAAAUCGUUCAUAUAGAAACAUGAUCAGUGAUCACACACAAUGUCUCAUUACCGGAAUAUUGGUCAGGUUUCGAAGCGAUCACGGGAAUUAUGCCCUUUUUUGCUGGUAUUAUGCCCUUAUAUUAUGAAGGUAUUAUGCUUCACGAAUCGCGAGAGCGGCGCAAAUUAGAUAGUUAUGAUAAUGUAAGUUGUAUACGCAAUUUAGUUGUUUGUGCAAGAAACAUCAUGACUCAUGAGUAAUGUAAGUGAUAAGAUAAUGCUGAAACGCGCCCUUUUGGCAGUCAAGCAAGGUAAACUUAAAGUGCAUAUGCGUGGGGUCCGUGUGUUAUUGUAUAAAAGAGCUGUAUGUUGUAAAGGUAUUCAGAUCACCAGAUCAGUAGAGAUAGAAUUGGGAUUAGAUUAAUCGCUGGAACUGAGUUAGCAUUGCCCAAUUUAAGUACUACUACUACUAAAUUCUAACCAAAUUGCAAAUUUCAACACGUUAUAAUGCCGUUUUCUGACCAUCAGAUUUCUGUCAAACCUUCCCCCCAAAGUCCAGGAAAUGGCAUUUCAGAGACCCUAAAUUCAAAAAUUUCCGAGGGGGCAUGCCCCCGGACCCCCCUAGAGAAACCUCGCACCUGCGGCGCUCGACUCGUGCCUUCGAAACUCGUUUACCAAGCGUUACAAUAUAGGGGCGCAUAUUAGUUGAAAGCCCACUGCCCCCCCCCCCAGAAAAUUAGUACCCAGCACGCCACUGAGUGUAAUAUAUUAAUAAAAAAAUUCCAGAGUGCAUUCCAUGUAAAACUCUACGCCGAAGAUACGGCAAUAUUAACUAUAAUAGAUAGUAGAGUAAAUAUUUGCCGAACUGGCGAACUCGUGUAUUAUAGAAUAUGUGGGACAUAUAUUUGCACAAAUUUGGUAUUUAAAUAUAUAAUAUGUGGUAUUUGACUACUUACCAGAUGAGGAUAAGAUUGCAUGUUGAUAAAUAACUUCGGAAUAAAAAAAGACAGCCAAUUCAACAUAAAUUGAUAAAAGUAUCAAGAUAUUUUUGAAAGAAUAACACGAUUUAUACACGAGGCCUGACGAGGCUAAAGUAUGCCCGUUCGCAGGUUAGAUGCGGGCACGAUGUAAAAUUGAUGUAAACGAAUCGCUGAUUGGCUUAAAUUGGUUAAAAUUAUAGAAGCACGUCGCUGAAUGGCUAUAUGCUAACAUACGGUACGGUACGGUC